GAGGGGGUCGCGGCUGAUUAGCUAGUUGGCGGGGUAAUGGCCCACCAAGGCGAAGAUCGGUAUCCGGCCUGAGAGGGCGCACGGACACACUGGAACUGAAACACGGUCCAGACUCCUACGGGAGGCAGCAGUGGGGAAUUUUGCGCAAUGGGGGAAACCCUGACGCAGCAACGCCGCGUGGAGGAUGAAGUCCCUUGGGACGUAAACUCCUUUCGACCCGGACGAUACUGACGGUACCGUUUGUAAGCUCCGGCUAACUCCGUGCCAGCAGCCGCGGUAAUACGGGGGGAGCAAGCGUUGUUCGGAUUUACUGGGCGUAAAGGGCGCGUAGGCGGCCACUGCAAGUCAAUUGUGAAAUCUCCGGGCUUAACUCGGAAAGGUCAACUGAUACUGCAGGGCUAGAGUGCGGAAGGGGCAACUGGAAUUCACGGUGUAGCGGUGAAAUGCGUAGAUAUCGAGAGG
rnacentral:rRNA from 1 species